rnacentral:rRNA from 1 species
GUGAACGCUGGCGGCGUGCUUAACACAUGCAAGUCGAACGGGGGACAAUUUAAAGAAGCUUCGGCAGAUUUAGUUUGUUCCUAGUGGCGGACGGGUGAGUAACGCGUGGGUAACCUGCCUCACACUGGGGGAUAACAGUCAGAAAUGACUGCUAAUACCGCAUAAGCGCACAGAGCCGCAUGGCUCAGUGUGAAAAACUCCGGUGGUGUGAGAUGGACCCGCGUUGGAUUAGCCAGUUGGCAGGGUAACGGCCUACCAAAGCGACGAUCCAUAGCCGGCCUGAGAGGGUGGACGGCCACAUUGGGACUGAGACACGGCCCAGACUCCUACGGGAGGCAGCAGUGGGGAAUAUUGCACAAUGGGGGAAACCCUGAUGCAGCGACGCCGCGUGAAGGAAGAAGUAUCUCGGUAUGUAAACUUCUAUCAGCAGGGAAGAA